AGAGUUUGAUCCUGGCUCAGGAUGAACGCUAGCUACAGGCUUAACACAUGCAAGUCGAGGGGGUAGCAGGGUAGCAAUACUGCUGACGACCGGCGCACGGGUGAGUAACACGUAUCCAACCUUCCCAUGACUCGGGGAUAGCCUUUACGAAAGAAAGAUUAAUACCCGAUAGUACUUUUUUGAGGCAUCUUAAGAAAGUUAAAGAUUUAUCGGUUAUGGAUGGGGAUGCGUUCCAUUAGAUUGUUGGUGAGGUAACGGCUCACCAAGUCUUCGAUGGAUAGGGGUUCUGAGAGGAACGGUCCCCCACAUUGGUACUGAGACACGGAACCAAACUCCGUACGGGAGGCAGCAGUGAGGAAUAUUGGUCAAUGGGCGAGAGCCUGAACCAGCCAAGUAGCGUGAAGGAUAGAAGGUCCUAUGGAUUGUAAACUUCUUUUAUAGUAGAAUAAAGUGAUCCACGUGUGGAUUUUUGUAUGUAUACUAUGAAUAAGGAUCGGCUAACUCCGUGCCAGCAGCCGC
rnacentral:rRNA from 1 species